AUACUUACCUGGCAGGGGAGAUACCAUGAUCACGAAGGUGGUUUUCCCUUCGUGGUUUUCCCUUUCCGGCCCAUCCUGGAGGUUUGGGCUCACCAGGCUCUACUUUAGAAAUUUCGUUUAUCCGCCUGCUUAUUUAUUCAUUGUAUUUUCAUUUAUUUGAUUCAUUUAC